rnacentral:lncRNA from 1 species
AACGUCUAGAUCCGGGGAUCUAUCGCUAGACAUUGACUUUUGGGGAGUCACCACCAAUCUUUUUUUAUCUAGGUGCGAUUGAUCACCUAAGGAAUCUGUCCUUUCAGGGAACACCUAAGCUUAAGGGUCCCUAAAAGAAUAGGUUCAGGUCUACAAACCAGAACAGGGUUCGGGAGUUCGAUUACGUGUGAGGAAGGUUAUAGCACCCUCACAACGCCCAUCAAAAGAUGGUACCAGCUUAAAUUUGUGUUAUCCAAAAGCUUUAAAAUUUUACCAAGUAAUUAAUUAUUGGAAAUUAUUCUCAAUUGACUCUAAUACUUUUAGC